AUUUAUUGAAGACUCCGAGCAUUAUUUCCUAACUCUAAAAAUUAAAGACAAAUUUUUGAUAUGGAAUUUAUGCCAGUAACAGCAUAAAGCUGUUCAAAGGAUAACUUAGAAAUGGGUUGUCCUCUCGUGUUUAGAAAGGUGUCAAAUGCAGUCUAUU
rnacentral:ncRNA from 19 species